AGAGCUAUAAUCAAAUAAACUCUAUCCUUUAUUUUACUAUUAAAUCCACCUUAAAAUUAUUGUUUCAAAUAAUUUAACGUAUAAAUAUUUUUAUUGUAACCCAUCUCUACUAAAAUAUAAACUGCACCUUGACCUGACAUCAAUUAUAAUAAUAAAUUAAGAAAAUUAUUACUCUUUUAAGAUAUUCUGAUAACGGCGAUAUACAAGUUGAAAACAAAUCUUAGUAAGGUCCAACGUGGAUUAUCGAUUACAGGACAGGUUCCUCUAAAUAGACUAAAACACCGCCAAAUUCUUUAAGUUUGAAGAUCAUAACUAUUACUACUCAAGUAUUUAAAUUUACAUUUUAAAUAAUAGGGUAUCUAAUCCUAGUUUAUUAUUAAAAUUUUAUAGCUUCAUUAACUUUAUAUUAUAAUAUUAAUUAAAUUUAAAAUUUCACUUAAAAAAUUUAAUAUAAUAAUUAUUUAAUUAAACCAAAUUAACUUACUACUAAUAAAUCUUAUUUGCAUUAUUUG
rnacentral:rRNA from 1 species